rnacentral:rRNA from 1 species
GACGAACCGAGCGAACGUUGUUCGGAAUCACUGGGCUUAAAGGGCGCGUAGGCGGGCUGCCGCGUCCGGGGUGAAAGCCCCCCGCUCAACGGGGGAACGGCCUCGGAUACGGGCGAUCUCGAGGGGGGUAGGGGCACCUGGAACUGUGGAUGGAGCGGUGAAAUGCGUUGAUAUCCACAGGAACUCCGGUGGCGAAGGCGAGGUGCUGGACCCCAUCUGACGCUGAGGCGCGAAAGCCAGGGGAGCGAACGGG